rnacentral:misc_RNA from 1 species
CUUCCCCCAUACGGAACUCAAGAAUGGGGUGUUUAUCCGGGAAAGGAGAAGAAGUGCCUGAAUUUGAGAUUACUGAGCCUGGUGAAAUGAACUGCCUGCCUGGGCUUCCUGGGUGUAGUGGAUAAGACUGGAAUUCAUAAUGGGAUAAUGCAAACUUUUGAUUGGUCCCGCUGUUUCUUCGAGCACGCUCCAAAGAAGACGUCAGGAGUUGAGCAAAUGGCACUUCUGGGGAAGAAGGUGUAGUCAGCUGAACAGAUUCAGGAGGCGGAGUGAAAGGUGCAGUGGAUGGUUCAGUGGUGAAGGCAGAAAACGCAGGGGGGGUAACUAGCUGGGGUUCAUGAGCAUAUGGAAAAAAUGGAUGCAGGUCCACCAGGGGAGUAGGCAUUCAUAGAAAGAGAAGUAAGAGAAAGCAAUCCUGCAGGUGAUUGAGUGACAGAAGGGGGAUCAGAUUGGAGGAAUGAAGCAGGAGAAGAAGGAGGGGCAAUAAAAGGAACUGCAACAGCAGUUGAGUGUGUUUGAUUUUCAGCAGAAGUAACUACAGCUCCAGUUACUUCAGGUUCAGGAACAAGAGCAGCAUGACCAAUUCGCUUGCUAUUUUUAUGAAAGCCAAAACACCAGUAAAUACUCCAGCAGCCUCCCCAUCUUCUUUUCUGAACGGUGGUUGGCUGCACACGAGACUCGGCGGAGACGAUGGCAGUGGCAGCGGCGUUGAUGGUGUCGAAGCUGUUGUUGACGGUUCUCAUCUUGAACUAGGAGGAGUUAAAGAGAGCUUGGAUAACAUAUCAGAUGUGGUAUUGGAUCUGCAAAGUCUGAAAUGAAACCCAGAGAGGAGAAUAAUAAAUCAACAUGGUGAGAUCAAACAAGCACUCUCUCAACUCCCUCUCUUCUCUCUGUUUCCG